GAGUAAGAUGGCUGCAGCGUGUGUGCUGAGGACCUGGAGCCGGACUGCCGGGCGUCUGAUUUGUGUCCGCUACUUUCAAACAUGUGGUAAUAUUCAUGUUUUGAAACCAAACUAUGUGUCUUUCUUUGGUUAUCCUUCAUUCAAGUAUAACCAUCCACAUCAGCUGCUGAACACAACUGCUGCUCUACAGGGACAGAUUGUUCAGUUCAAACUCUCAGACAUUGGUGAAGGGAUUAGAGAAGUAACUGUUAAAGAAUGGUAUGUAAAAGAAGGAGAUACAGUGUCUCAGUUUGAUAGCAUCUGUGAAGUUCAAAGUGAUAAAGCUUCUGUUACUAUCACUAGUCGUUACGAUGGAGUCAUUAAAAAACUAUAUUAUAAUCUAGACGAUAUUGCCUACGUGGGAAAGCCAUUAGUAGACAUAGAAACGGAAGCUUUAAAAGAUUCAGAAGAAGAUGUUGUUGAAACUCCUGCUGUGUCCCAUGAUGAACACACACACCAAGAGAUAAAGGGUCAAAAAACACUGGCAACUCCUGCAGUUCGUCGCCUUGCAAUGGAAAACAAUAUUAAGCUGAGUGAAGUUGUUGGCUCUGGAAAAGAUGGCAGAAUACUUAAAGAAGAUAUUCUCAGCUAUCUGGAAAAGCAAACAGGAGCUAUACUACCUCCUUCACCAAAAGCUGAAAGUAUGCCACCUCCACCAAAACCAAAAGAGAGAACUAUUCCUAUACCAAUAUCAAAACCUCCAGUAUUCACAGGCAAAGACAGAACAGAACCCAUAAAAGGCUUUCACAAAGCAAUGGUCAAGACCAUGUCUGCAGCCCUGAAGAUACCUCAUUUUGGGUAUUGUGAUGAUGUUGACCUUACUGAACUGGUUAAGCUGCGAGAAGAAUUAAAACCCAUUGCUUUUGCUCGUGGAAUUAAACUCUCCUUCAUGCCCUUCUUCUUAAAGGCUGCUUCCUUGGGAUUACUACAGUUUCCUAUCCUUAAUGCUUCUGUGGAUGAAAACUGCCAGAACAUAACAUAUAAGGCUUCUCAUAACAUUGGGAUAGCAAUGGAUACAGAGCAGGGCUUGAUUGUACCUAAUGUGAAAAAUAUUCAGGUCCGCUCCAUAUUUGAGAUCGCCACUGAAUUGAACCGCCUCCAGAAAUUGGGCUCUGCAGGUCAGCUCAGCACCACUGACCUUACAGGAGGAACAUUUACUCUUUCCAACAUUGGAUCAAUUGGUGGUACCUACGCCAGACCCGUGAUAUUGCCACCCGAAGUGGCAAUUGGGGCCCUGGGAAAAAUUAAGGCCCUUCCCCGAUUUAACGAGAAAGGGGAAGUAUAUAAGGCCCAGAUAAUGAAUGUGAGCUGGUCAGCUGAUCACAGAAUUAUUGAUGGUGCUACAAUGUCACACUUCUCCAAUUUGUGGAAAUCCUACUUAGAAAACCCAGCUUUUAUGCUACUAGAUCUGAAAUGAAGAUUGAUAAGACAUCCUUGAACUUUCUGAGCUUCAAAAGAAAAUGCAGAGCCCAGCUGUGCAGCACACGUUCCUCAUUGCAGUUUGUAUUAUAAUAUGAAGAGUUGCAAAGAAAAUAAAAUCAACCAUAAUCCUACCACUAUUAACAUUUUGAUCAAGGUAUCUGUAUACAUAGCUAUUCUUUUUAUGAAAAUAAGGUUGUGCUGUAUCUACUAUUUUAUAGUUUGAUUUUUUUAAUUUAACAUUAUGAGUCAAUAAACAGCUCCACAUUAUGAUACUUUUAAAUGGCUGCAUAAUAUUCGUUGUUUGCAUUUAUUACACAUCCAAAUGUUAAACAUCUACUGUAUACUAAGUGUGGUGCUAAGCAGUGGGUACACAAUGCCCAUCCUCAUGGUUCCUGCCUUCAUUGGGCUUACAGUCUGGGGAGCGAGACAGAUAUUUAAUAAUCAUAAAAAUAAGAAUAUAAUUAACUUCUAAGUAGGAGAAAACAGGGUGCUAUAAGAGCAUCUAAUAGAAGUUACUGAUCCUGUCUGGGAAGAUGAGGAGAGGAUGUACCAUAAUUUAACCAAUUCC